UCCGUCUGCCGCCGCCUCGCGCCGCGGCUUUUGUGAGGCGGCGCGGGCGCGGGCGCGGGAGCAGGUGCCGAGCAGCCGCCCGCACCGCACCGCGCACCCACCGCACCGAGCCGCGCACCCACCGCACCGCGCAGGAACUUUUGAGCCAGGAAAAAUAAAAAAGGCAUUGUAAUUCUCAAGAAUAAAUCCAUGCCUGUGAGACUUCAUGGAUGUUCUUGGUUGAGGAGCAGAAGGAAACACAAAUUAGGGCGCUCGCUGAGCAAAGAUUUCCUCACCUCAGAACUCCAGACGGCACGGGGACGAUGUUUUAAGGAAACCAGGUUUCUAUGUGGAAGACUUCUAUUGUUUGAGACGAAUUCUGCACCUUUCACGUGUAUUUAUGCACAGUCCCUUCAAAACCAACGUAACUCCUUUUUGAACCUGCACACAAACAGAGCUUGCAGUUCAUAAUGGCAGUAUUUGGCAGGGGGGAUCGUUCUCCAUUUGCUGGUAUAACAAGAAAAGCAAAGAACAUUUUCUGGUCCAGCUCAUCCAGGGUGAUCAGCUUCGUUCUUGUUUGACACUGAAACCCCAAGUCUGACUUGAGAUUUAUUAAUAUAGCCCUGCUCAGCUCUUUGCAGUGCACCAUUGUAUUUAACAGACAUUUAUAAAAGCAUCCCGUACUCGUUGACAAAUCAUAGAUACACAUUAGUAACAGAUGUUUGUCUUUCCUUAAGCUUAAAAUAAGUAAAACACAUUGUAACUUGUGAAAUUUGUACCUUUUUUGGGUGGCUUUCCUCUUGAAUGCGUGGGUAGCAGAUGGCCCUUCUGUAUCCCAGAAAAUGCACGGGGUCGACUGACUGGAACCAAGCAAGAAGGUUUAAAGCUGAGGGGUGGACGCAGGGUUAAACCAGGAUGCUUUCAGUUAGACAAGCUCAUGCGAGCUCAGUGUGGUUUUACACAGGAGAAAAGACCUGUGGGAAAAGCACCCAGGCUCCCCAAAAUGAGAUCUUUGUGUGUGAGGAACAUCAAAUCAAACCAGGUUGUGAGCGGAGUGCAGAUCUGCUUGUAUCCACGAUAAACUGCCUCCGCGUCCUUGGCUUUCCUUCUGCUCCAGGCGGGCUGGCUGCAGUCGCCCCCCAGCCUUCCGCGGAUAAUCUCCCCCCGACAAUAACCAGCAAAAGGCUCACGUUGCGCCGGGCUCCAAACAGCCCCCGGCACGGCACGGGGUCAGCGUGCUGCUCGCCCGCCUCUUUAUUUUGGUUGACAUUUGCCUUUGUCGAGAAGCUGUUCCUUGUUAUUCAGCACGUCCAGCCCUGCACGUAUCCGAUCUGUUUAACCGGCUUUGGAUACAAGUGGGUAUUUUCCCAUGUCAAUAAAUGCUCUGGUGGGAAGCUGCGAGCUGGCCGCCCAGAGAACGACCCCCUGCCGGGGAUCUCACUUCGGCAUUGAGUUUUCUUUGUUAAUCAGGUGCAAAAUAAGAAGGCUUUCUGUCUAGCAAAAACCCAUCAUUAAUUUUUCAUAUAAGCACUAAAGUCUUGAACAGAAUCCUUGAGUGGCUUCAAAGAAAAAGGAAUAAUAAAACCAAGGAGCCACAUUUUCCUUUUCCCCAUCUUAGUUAUUUGAUAUUUUAAGAAGACUUUUAAAUGCAGAAUUCCAGCUCUCCCUGCUUAGUGGUGACACAUUCAUUCUGAAAACUACAUUUGACCUUCAACUUUGUCCUUCAUUAGCAGGAUUACACCUAAACACUCCUUCAUUCUCCUGCAAAUGAGACAGAUGCAAUGUGUAUUCUGGUCGGCCCCAGCAUUAGGAUUAUCCCAAGAGUGGCAUUUAUGUUCUUGUAGUUCUUCGGUAUAAAUAAAUAUCAAAGUAGGAAGACCAAUCUGUACUCCGCUAGGAAUAAUAAACUAAAAUAAUAUGGCACUGA